GAAUCAAAGAAGGUAAUAAUCCUGUAGUCGAAAAUGUUGUCUCUCUUGAGUGGAUCCUGAGUACGACGGAGCACGUGAAAUUCCGUCGGAAUCUGGGAGGACCAUCUCCUAAGGCUAAAUACUCUCUAGUGACCGAUAGUGAACCAGUACCGUGAGGGAAAGGUGAAAAGCACCCCGGAAGGGGAGUGAAAUAGAACCUGAAACCGUGUGCUUACAAGUAGUCAGAGCCCGUUAAUGGGUGAUGGCGUGCCUUUUGUAGAAUGAACCGGCGAGUUACGAUUUGAUGCAAGGUUAAGCAGUAAAUGUGGAGCCGUAGCGAAAGCGAGUCUGAAUAGGGCGUUUAGUAUUUGGUCGUAGACCCGAAACCAGGUGAUCUACCCUUGGUCAGGUUGAAGUUCAGGUAACACUGAAUGGAGGACCGAACCGACUUACGUUGAAAAGUGAGCGGAUGAACUGAGGGUAGCGGAGAAAUUCCAAUCGAACCUGGAGAUAGCUGGUUCUCUCCGAAAUAGCUUUAGGGCUAGCCUCAAGUGAUGAUUAUUGGAGGUAGAGCACUGUUUGGACGAGGGGCCCCUCUCGGGUUACCGAAUUCAGACAAACUCCGAAUGCCAAUUAAUUUAACUUGGGAGUCAGAACAUGGGUGAUAAGGUCCGUGUUCGAAAGGGAAACAGCCCAGACCACCAGCUAAGGUCCCAAAAUAUAUGUUAAGUGGAAAAGGAUGUGGCGUUGCCCAGACAACUAGGAUGUUGGCUUAGAAGCAGCCAUCAUUUAAAGAGUGCGUAAUAGCUCACUAGUCGAGUGACACUGCGCCGAAAAUGUACCGGGGCUAAACAUAUUACCGAAGCUGUGGAUUGUCCUUUGGACAAUGGUAGGAGAGCGUUCUAAGGGCGUUGAAGCAUGAUCGUAAGGACAUGUGGAGCGCUUAGAAGUGAGAAUGCCGGUGUGAGUAGCGAAAGACGGGUGAGAAUCCCGUCCACCGAUUGACUAAGGUUUCCAGAGGAAGGCUCGUCCGCUCUGGGUUAGUCGGGUCCUAAGCUGAGGCCGACAGGCGUAGGCGAUGGAUAACAGGUUGAUAUUCCUGUACCACCUAUAAUCGUUUUAAUCGAUGGGGGGACGCAGUAGGAUAGGCGAAGCGUGCGAUUGGAUUGCACGUCUAAGCAGUAAGGCUGAGUAUUAGGCAAAUCCGGUACUCGUUAAGGCUGAGCUGUGAUGGGGAGAAGACAUUGUGUCUUCGAGUCGUUGAUUUCACACUGCCGAGAAAAGCCUCUAGAUAGAAAAUAGGUGCCCGUACCGCAAACCGACACAGGUAGUCAAGAUGAGAAUUCUAAGGUGAGCGAGCGAACUCUCGUUAAGGAACUCGGCAAAAUGACCCCGUAACUUCGGGAGAAGGGGUGCUCUUUAGGGUUAACGCCCAGAAGAGCCGCAGUGAAUAGGCCCAAGCGACUGUUUAUCAAAAACACAGGUCUCUGCUAAACCGUAAGGUGAUGUAUAGGGGCUGACGCCUGCCCGGUGCUGGAAGGUUAAGAGGAGUGGUUAGCUUCUGCGAAGCUACGAAUCGAAGCCCCAGUAAACGGCGGCCGUAACUAUAACGGUCCUAAGGUAGCGAAAUUCCUUGUCGGGUAAGUUCCGACCCGCACGAAAGGCGUAACGAUUUGGGCACUGUCUCAACGAGAGACUCGGUGAAAUCAUAGUACCUGUGAAGAUGCAGGUUACCCGCGACAGGACGGAAAGACCCCGUGGAGCUUUACUGUAGCCUGAUAUUGAAAUUCGGCACAGCUUGUACAGGAUAGGUAGGAGCCUUUGAAACGUGAGCGCUAGCUUACGUGGAGGCGCUGGUGGG
rnacentral:rRNA from 1 species